rnacentral:pre_miRNA from 1 species
AGAGGAAUAGCUGGGUCAAAUGGUGGUUCCAUUCCCAGAUUUCCAAGGAAUCUCCAUACUGCUUUCCAGAUUGACUGUACCAAUUUGCAGUCCCACCAGCAAU